UACAGAGGAGCCAAGCGUUGUCCGGAUUGACUGGGCGUAAAGCGCACGCAGGCGGACGCGCGCGUGGGGUGUGAAAUCUGGCCGCUUAACGGCCAGGCGCCAUCCCAUACGGCGCGUCUGGAGCCAUGCAGAGGGCGGUGGAAUUGCCGGUGUAGUGGUGAAAUGCGUAGAGAUCGGCAGGAACACCGAUGGCGAAGUCAGCCUUCUGGGCCAACACUGACGCUCAUGCACGAAAGCGUGGGGAGCAAACAGG
rnacentral:rRNA from 1 species